rnacentral:rRNA from 1 species
GACGAACCGUGCAAACGUUAUUCGGAAUCAUUGGGCUUAAAGAGCGCGUAGGCGGCGUCGUAAGUUGGAGGUGAAAUCCCAUCGGCUCAACCGUGGAACUGCCCCCCAAUACUGCGACGCUUGAGGGAGGUAGGGGGCAUGCGGAACUUCCAGUGGAGCGGUGAAAUGCGUAGAUAUCGUUUGGAACGCCGAUGGUGAAAACAGGUUGCUGGGGACAUGCUGACGCUGAGACACGAAAGCCAGGGGAGCGAACGGG